ensembl:lncRNA
AUGCUUUAUCUUCCUGGGAAUCGCAAUAAACCAGGCAGGUGUGAACCAAGUCGAGACUGUCAGGUGGAAGAAUCGAUGGUUUUUCCUUUGGCUGCUUGUGCAGGCACAUAUUUGUUGAGCAGCUGCAGACUUUUGGCAGCGACACAUGUGCCCUUCCAAGAACAGGCACCUGUGAAAGCAGAGGCCAUCCUGUGGGAGAGCAUCCAUCUUCUUGAAACUUGUAAGAACAUUUCUGCACUGCUUUGCUCUUGAUCCUCACUCCUGAACCGAACCCUUCUGGGGUAAUGCUUCCCAGACCACCCAACUGAUCAGGAGCCUGAGUGCCUUUUCAGCAGUGACUUAGGUCCUGAGGACAUCGUUGGUCUGCUCAAGAGCGGCAUCAACCAGGAGCACUUUAAUCAUCUUCAGGAGGCUGGUGUGCAAAGCUUGCUCUGCAUUCGCUGGCAGCGAAGUCUGCCUACACCAGGGCUCCGGAGGCGAGCGGGUGCUCGCUGCAGCCCACGAGCGCACAGCGGUGGGUCACCGCUCCCGCCGGCAGCCAGAGCUGUUUCACGGUGAGUCUGGAGUUUGGCAUCCAGCGGUGCACUGCAGGUCCGUGGAAAGCACCAGCCUGUAGCAGAGGGUUGCGCCUCUGUCUGCGGUCUUUGCAAAGGGGCCCUGGCUGUGCAGGCUCACUGGGGUUCCUUGGCUAAGGAGAGAGGGAGGCACGGCGAGAUCAGGGAAUUUUCCCACGCCAGGAGCCUGUGAACUCCAAGUAACCCUUCUUCCAGGCCAGAGCUGUAUGCCCCAAAGCAUCGUCUGUGCCUUAAUUUCAUCUCUCCUCCUAUUUGUCCAACAGCUCAGCUUGAUAGCCUUUAUUUUAUGCUUGUUUAAGUUAAUUUUAUAAUCAGUGGACAGAAGAGGCAUUUUGGCUUGAUGGUCAUUUACAGCUGGGUAGGAUCAGGGCAGCUGUAAAUCGUGUCUAGUUAAUGAGUAGUGAACAGUUCAAGCAGUGCUGAUGUUGAGCUGUUCAUGUCUGUUAAAAGGAGUACGCUCCGUGCCAAAUGGUAAAUUUGCAUGGAAGGAAAAUUGUCCUGCUUCCUUCCUAAAUACUGAGCUGAAUGUGGCCCGAGUCCUUCAUGAGAUUAGAAAAAACCCAGCAAACUAUUUUCCCUAAAUGUUCAUCCAGAUAUAUGGUAGAGGGGUUACUACUGAACAAGUGAAAUAUGGAGCUGUUUAAAAAUCAACUUUUUCACAGGGAAAUGUUUAUUGUAUACUGUGCAUUCUGGGUUGCUUUUUUUCUUCCUGUUGGAAAAAAAAAGCUCAAAAUGAACAUUUUUUAAAAUGAUGAAAAAAUCGAUGUUACAAAAAUAAAUGCUUCAUUUUUCA